UACGAAGGGGGCUAGCGUUGCUCGGAAUCACUGGGCGUAAAGCGCACGUAGGCGGAUCUUUAAGUCAGGGGUGAAAUCCUGGAGCUCAACUCCAGAACUGCCUUCGAUACUGAGGAUCUCGAGUCCGGGAGAGGUGAGUGGAACUGCGAGUGUAGAGGUGAAAUUCGUAGAUAUUCGCAAGAACACCAGUGGCGAAGGCGGCUCACUGGCCCGGUACUGACGCUGAGGUGCGAAAGCGUGGGGAGCAAACAGG
rnacentral:rRNA from 1 species